CAGUCUUGAGAAUAGGAAUUGAGAGGUCGCUCUCUUUGUGAGGUCCUGGAGUUGAUUUUUCACUACCCUGCAGUGGCACAAGUGUUUUGGUGAUACACAAGAUUGUAAUAAAAAUGAAAUAUUAUCUGCUUGAAAGCUGUAGUAAUUUUCUUUACUUAGAAUUCCUAUCCCUUUUUUUUAAAUCAAUUAUCAAUUUAGGUGCAUGUGUAUCUGGUCUGGUAUGGGCGGAUCAAUGUACUUAGUAAUUGGGCUGACCAAAUUAUGUAUCAAAUGGGCCGGGUGACCCAUGAUCCAACCGGAUCAAAAC
rnacentral:lncRNA from 1 species